AACCUUAUGGACCUGCGGGCGUAUACCUGCGGAAGGAUCAUCAAUGAAUAAACUUGGUCAAGCUGUUGCUGGUCCUUCGGGACAUGUGCACGCUUGCCACCAAUUUUAACCACCUGUGCACCUUUUGUAGACUGGAAACGUUUCUCGAGGCAACUCGGAUUGAGAAUUGCUGCGCGCAAGCCGGCUGUUCUUGUGUUUCUCAGUCUAUGUUUCUAUAUACUCCUAAUGUAUGUAUCUGAA
rnacentral:misc_RNA from 1 species